rnacentral:rRNA from 1 species
UACAGAGGUCUCAAGCGUUGUUCGGAUUCAUUGGGCGUAAAGGGUGCGUAGGCGGCGGGGUAAGUCAGGUGUGAAAUCUCGGGGCUCAACCCCGAAACUGCACUUGAUACUGCCUCGCUUGAGUACUGGAGAGGAGACUGGAAUUUACGGUGUAGCAGUGAAAUGCGUAGAUAUCGUAAGGAAGACCAGUGGCGAAGGCGAGUCUCUGGACAGUUACUGACGCUGAGGCACGAAGGCCAGGGGAGCAAACGGG